AUUGAACGCUGGCGGCAUGCCUUACACAUGCAAGUCGAACGGUAACGGGCCUUCGGGUGCCGACGAGUGGCGGACGGGUGAGUAAUACAUCGGAACGUGCCCGAUCGUGGGGGGUAACGAGGCGAAAGCUUUGCUAAUACCGCAUACGAUCUACGGAUGAAAGCAGGGGACCGCAAGGCCUUGCGCGGACGGAGCGGCCGAUGGCAGAUUAGGUAGUUGGUGGGAUAAAAGCUUACCAAGCCGACGAUUUGUAGCUGGUCUGAGAGGAUGAUCAGCCACACUGGGACUGAGACACGGCCCAGACUCCUACGGGAGGCAGCAGUGGGGAAUUUUGGACAAUGGGCGCAAGCCUGAUCCAGCCAUGCCGCGUGCAGGAUGAAGGCCUUCGGGUUGUAAACUGCUUUUGUACGGAACGAAAAGCCUUCUUUUAAUACAGGAGGGUCAUGACGGUACCGUAAGAAUAAGCACCGGCUAACUACGUG
rnacentral:rRNA from 1 species